rnacentral:lncRNA from 1 species
UAUAACCAAUUAUGGAGCAUAUCCGCAAAGAUGAAAAAAACGUGGCUGAAUUUGUGGAGAACGCAUCAAAUAUGUCGUGAAUUUACGGGGAAACGAUACGAUAUGCAGCGCAUUCCAAUUCUCAAGAUCCAGGUGUAGCGGUCUGCAUUACCGCGUGAGUAAAUACCUCGAGUCAUCGUAGCCGCAGUGAUCACCGACAGAAGGCGAAGCCUACGAUUUGUUCUCACGUUUAAAGACGGCCAGCACUGAAACAUAACUGGGCAAAGUACUGGAACAUGUCGUGCCUUAAACUAAUGAGUAAGGAAAAUAUAGAGCUUUGGUAACGCUUAGCCAUGCUAUAAUCAGCGACCAUAUUUUUGAAGGGGCUCAGGUCGUCCCAGGCUGCUUGGACUACUUUUCCGAGCGGCUAGGUGAAGCGAUCUGCCCG